rnacentral:tmRNA from 1 species
GGGGGCGACAGGCUUCGACGGGGGUUAUGAGGUCUAAGUUGCAUGCCGUGGCACUGUCACCACGUAAAAAGGCAGUAAAAAACACAAAC